UUUUUAAAAGAGAAAAUUCUUAAAUCUUUUCCAGACUCAAAAAUAAUUAUUAAAGAUAUAAGUGGUGGAUGUGGUGCAAGUUUUGAAGUUUACAUUGUUUCUAAUUUAUUCAGCAAAAAACCUAUCCUGCAAAGACAUAGUUCGCUAUAACACAAAAUCAAAUAUGCAAUGCAAAAUAGAGUCCUGCAGACCUAAAUGAAAUAUUAGCUCAGUUGAUUACAGAAUAAUCUAGCAGCUAUACUAUCUUACUUCACUGAUAUGUGACCACUCUUAUUUUUAGCUUAUCUAUAAUUUAAAAAAUAAUCAUGAACAAAAAUUAUUAUAUAUAAAUUAUAAAAAUAUAUAUGAUUCAAAAUAUGUAACUCUAUUUAAAUUAUUCCACAGCUAAGCUAAAAUAUCAUACUUUUUGCAUAGAUUUAUUAAAAUUUAUAACUAUCCAUGUCUUUACAAUUGAUUCUAUGAUAUUAAAUUAAUACUAGAUCUGGGGUGUUGAAAUCUUUAGUCUUGUAUGUAUAUUUUAUUAGUAAUCUAUUUAAAUGUUAACUUUUAUUUUGAUUAUAACUAUCCAUGUCUUUACAAUUGAUUCUUUAUGAUAUUAAAUUAAUACUAGAU